rnacentral:rRNA from 1 species
AUUGAACGCUGGCGGCGUGCUUAACACAUGCAAGUCGAUCGGUAACGCGGGGGCAACCCCGGCGACGAGAGGCGGGCGGGUGAGGAACGCUUGGGAAUCUGCCUAUCAGCGGGGGACAACACGGGGAAACUCGUGCUAAUACCGCAUACGCUCUACGGAGGAAAGCCGGGGACCGCAAGGCCUGGCACUGAUAGAUGAGCCCAAGCCGGAUUAGCUAGUUGGCGGGGUAACGGCCCACCAAGGCGACGAUCCGUAGCUGGUCAGAGAGGACGAUCAGCCACACUGGAACUGAGACACGGUCCAGACUCCUACGGGAGGCAGCAGUGGGGAAUAUUGGACAAUGGGGGAAACCCUGAUCCAGCGACGCCGCGUGGGUGAAGAAGGCCUGCGGGUUGUAAAGCCCUUUCGGUAGGGACGAAAGCUCUCGACCUAACACGUCGGGAGGUUGACUUAACCUACAGAAGAAGCACCGGCUAACUCUGUGCCAGCAGCCGCAGUAAAAC